UACGUAGGGUCCGAGCGUUGUCCGGAGUUACUGGGCGUAAAGGGCGCGCAGGCGGCGGUGCUGGCCCGGCGUGAAAGCCCCCCGGCUCAACCGGGGGAGGGUCGUCGGGGACCGCACCGCUUGAGGGCGGUAGGGGCUGGUGGAAUGCCUGGUGUAGUGGUGAAAUGCGUAGAGAUCAGGCAGAACACCCGUGGCGAAGGCGGCCAGCUGGGCCGUCCCUGACGCUGAGGCGCGAAGGCGUGGGGGAGCGAACGGG
rnacentral:rRNA from 1 species